ensembl:lncRNA
GACAGGAUUAAAUAAGUUUAUGUAAUCAGGUUUGAGUUUAGCGUAAUGACUGUGUGUGUGUGUGUGUGUGUGUGUGUGUGUGUGUGUGUGUGUGUGUGUGUGUGUGUGUGUGUGUGUGUGUGUGUGUGUGUGUGUGUGUGUGUGUGUGUGUGUGUGUGUGUUUGUGCUAUAUCGCCGAAGGAAGGAAAGAGAGAGAGAGAGAGAGAGAGAGAGAGAGAGAGAGAGAGAGAGAGAGAGAGAGAGAGAGAGAGAGAGAGAGAGAGAGAGAGAGAGAGAGAGAGAGAGAGAGAGAGAGAGCGAGAGAGAGAGAGAGAGAGAGAGAGACUUUUACCAUAGAGUGUGGGAGGGGGGGGAGACAUACUUCCAUCCUCGAUGUGAAUCUCCUGGAGGCUGAGCAAACCUCCUUCUCCACUUCACACACUCUACACGCGCAAUCUUCACCGCGGACUGCUCACUCUUCACCCGGGAGUGCUCACCCCUUCACCCGGGAGUCAACCCGCUUCCCUCAAGAGGACCACCGAGUUUAACAAUCGGCGGGACACAAGAACUUUCCGCCGGCAGAGUUCCCGUCUGUCCGCACUACACGGUCCGUCCUCCCGGAGCAGGUCGGGCUGAGGCUCGCUGGUCGGAGAGAUGAUACUAGUCUGCCCCUCCCUGCUCCUGGCUCUCUGUCUGCUGGGCUCCGGGACCGGUGGUCCUCCGACCCGGGGCUCCCCGCCCAGGGCGAGUCUGGGUCAGCUGGAGCGUUGGGGGCGGAGCGCCGUGCAGUACCUGAAGCUCCAGCGGUGUCGCCGCGUGGGCUCCUCCCCGGCCGUGGGGGGCUGCAGGCCUGACGGGAUGCAGCUCCUUAACGCCGCCCUGUACGUAUCGGAGCUGGUCACCCACCUAGGAGCUCCAGAAAAGGUGGUGGCCCUGCUCCCGGACUCCUCGGACCCCACGGGGCUGGGGGUCUACAGAGCGGGGGGCGGCCCUCGGCCCACGGCAGCCCACGACGCGGUCCUGCUAGUGGAUCCAAGCCCCGGGGAGAACUUCGGCCAUCCUGUGGUUCUGUUUUACGUGGACAUGAACGUGACCAAGAAACGCUGUUCGCUCAUGGAGGGCCUUUACUUCGGGGAGGAGUGUUUGACUCUGGCAUUGAAGGGUCGCUGUCAGAACCAGUUGAAGCGUCGUUCGUCCACGUCCCAGCGGUUGCUUAGAAACCUUGAGCGGAGGGCAGGGCCAUGUGAGGUCACCUUCCUUCCCCUAGUGGUUGGACUGAGAGACAGCAACAAAACACAGAGACUCAGGUGUAUCGCAUCCAAUGUCUGUCCAGGAGGCUGGCAGCAGCAGAUCCUGUUCCAGCACCAGCUGCAGUCCCUCCAGAAGUUCUACGGGAUGCUGAGGGAUAACGGCUUCCACCAGGACCACAUCAAGACCUUCUUCUCUGGCCCCGGACACACUCCUGAGGGCAUGCAGGGCGCUCUCCCAGCGGUAGAGAAGGCUGUGAUUCGUCAGUACGUGUCCUAUGUGUGUAGGAAGCAUCACUGUGUGGACUCUCUGGUCCUCUUCCUCAACUCCCCAACGUGUACUGACGGCUCCAUGCUGCUCUGGGACCACAACCUCAACGGCAUAGCAGAGCUGAAGGAGCGCUACUCGGUGAACGAACUGCUGGUAGACCUGGCGGGCUGCAGGGCAAGCCGGGUCCUGGUGUUCGUGGAGCAAAGCUACAGCUCCGUCCUCUCCAAGAGGCUGCGCAGCUCCUCCAAACACCUCAACGUGGUCCCAAUCAUCAGCCCCGCCCAACAGUACCCUGACCCAGGAGAGGGGUCCUGGAAACACCUGACCCCAAGAACCUGCCUCAUAGAUCACCUGGGAAAGGGUCAAGAGAAGUCCGGCCUGCUCUCUCUGUGGGCAGGGCUACUGAAUGUGACGCUGGCGGGCGCACCCUGCAAGGCCACGCCCCCUCUAACCGACGCCCAGCUGCAGAGGGAAUACCUGGGCUGUCAGAACCUGCCCACUGCGCUCUGGUACCAUCACCGGACCUGAGAGGGGGAGGGAGAGAGAGAGGGGGGUAGGGGGGAAGAGGGGGAGGGGGGAGUGAGGGAGGGGGCGGGGGAGAUGGUGAAGAGGGGGAGAGAGGGGGGGGGGGGAAGGGGGCAGGGGGGAGAGGGGAGUUGUGUAUGGUGUGUCCUCACUGUGAACCGAGAGCUUGUGAGGUGAGUGUUGGGGUACAAGAGAGAAGAGGUUCAAGUAGAGGACAGCUUCUCCUCCCUUUUCCUCCCUCCUCUCAUCCCCUUUCUCCUCUCCUUUCCACUCCUCACCUCCUUCCCUCCUAUCCCCCCCUCCUGUCGCCUCCUCGCCACUCUGCUCCAUUCCACUACAUGCCAGUAACAUAUAAUGACACUGGUACCAGGGGGAAGGAGAAGAUGGUUCAGAGAGAGGGAGAGGAGUGAGGAGGGAAGAGGGAGGAGCUCAUGCUUAAGAGAUGAAGAUUCGCCCUGAGAAUGACACCGACUAGACAUAUUUUAAUAAGAAAAUGGCCUCUCGCCCUGUCACACACACACACACACAAACACACACACUCACACACACAGACCAGGGCACAUACACACACAAACACACACACGCACACGCACACACACACACACACACACACACACACUCACAGACAGUGUUGGGCAAGUUACUUCAAAAGCGUAAUGCAUUAUUUAUUACUUGUUACUGUCAUUUCAAAGUAAUUAGUUACAUUACAGUAUUACUGUCUUUGAAUUGUAAGGCUUUACACUACUUUGACAUUACUUUUGCAUUUCUUUCACCAAAAUAACAGGAAAUAUGGAUUUGGUGUUCUCAAUAGAUCUUCUUGUGUUCAAUGCAGCUCAUUACACAGCAGGAGUUGAUGUGGUUGGCAUAAUGACUGAGCUAGGCUUAAGGCUAACAAAUGUACAAUAUAAUGGUCGCAGUUAUGGCUCAUGGUGCAAUACAUUUUAUAAUAGAAAAACUGUAUCUUUAGGUAUUGAAAUCAAUAGAGCUAGAGCCUACUACUGUAGGUUGUAAAAAAAAAAGUCAUGACAAGAUACACAACCCUUUUUACAUUUCUAUCCCUUUAUUUUCUUUCAUUCACAGAGAAUUCAUAGCAUAAUGAAUGACAUAGCAAGACCUACAUAAUGGCUAUGGCUAUGGCCAUAGCCAUAGGUCCCCCCCCCCCCCCCCCCCAACCACUCAGCGCAGCUUAAACUUGCAGUGAGGCAGUGGCAGUGAGGAAGCCAGUAGCGCAGCUUUGGAUUCAAUUGUAGCAUGCCCAUCUCGCAAAUGUAGAGUCCAACUCUGCUGCAUGGAGCCAGUUUCCUGCCAUAAUUCAAACCUGAAAAAAAAAGUUUCAAAGGCUUGUAAGUCUGGGUUUGAAAACUCAACACCUUGUAAAAAAAGGUUUUGCAACACUGAAAAAAGAGAUUAUAACCUGAAAAAAAUUCAAACAAAAAUUCAAACAUCUGUUAACAUGAUUUUGUGUUCUAUUUUAUCUUCUUCAUCAUUUUCACCAACACAUUUUCAAAGUUCAAACAAUUUCACCAGCGCAUUUGCAGAGUUUCAAAUCUGGCACUGUUCUAACAGUGUAUUUCAUUGUUUCCCGGUUUUGAAACCUUGUAAAUGGGAUUCUGCAAACAGGUGUUCAUACAUUGAGAAAUAAGUUUUGAAAGGUUGAAUAUUUAGUUUUAAAAACUUGUAGGCUAAAGGUGUACGUUUACGCCAUUGCAACGUAUUUUUUCAGAACUGACUUUUCAGCACUGACUUUUCAGAGAUUUGACCACACAGGCGCAAGCUUUGAGUCACGUGAAUAUUGGCAGUGUUCUGUCGUGCACUCGUUUUGAAACUCCUGACAGUCAAGUCUGAAGAAAAAAAAACGUUCCUGGGGGCGGGACAAUUUAGCUCUAAACCUAUUGGUUGCUCUCGGCUGACGUACAUUCCAAUCACGUGUGACGUUCACCCGGCUGUGCGUGAUUGACAGUGCUCUGCCGAUGAAAAGAAUGUGAUUGGAAUGUACGUCAGUACAUUCCAAGGGGUCAGACAACUAUAAUGCCGUCGCAGUCCACCGCCAAGACUCCCCCAUCCGCCAACACCUGCAUGGGGAUAAGGGAGGGACGACGAAGGAUGUACACGUGCCGUUCACCGGGCUGUGCGUGAUUGACAGUGCUCUGCCGAUGACAAGAAUGUGAUUGGAAUGUACGUCAGCCGAGAGCAACCAAUAGGUUUAAAGCUAAAUGGUCCCGCCCCCAGGAACGUUUUUUUUUUCUUCAGACUUGACUGUCAGGAGUUUCAAAACAUAUGCGCGACAGAACACUGCCAAUAUUCACGUGACUCAAAGCUUGCGCCUGUGUGGUCAAAUCUCUGAAAAGUUAAUGCUGAAAAAUCAGUUCUGAAAAAAUACGUUGCAAUGGCGUAAACGUACACCUUUACAAGUUUUUAAAACUAAAUAUACGACCUUUCAAAACUUAUUUCUCAAUGUAUGAACACCUGUUUGCAGAAUCCCAUUUACAAGGUUUAAAAACCGGGAAACAAUGAAAUACACUGUUAGAACAGUGCCAGAUUUUUUGAUGAAGAAGAUAAAAUAGAACACAAAAUCAUGUUUACAGAUGUUUGAAUUUUUGUUAGAUUUUUUUUUCAGGUUAUAAUCUAUUUUUUCAGUGUUGCAAAACCUUUUUUACAAGGUGUUGAGUUUUCAAACCCAGACUUACAAGCCUUUGAAACUUUUUUUUUCAGGUUUGAAAUAUGGCAGGAAACUGGCUCCAUACUGCUGCUGCUGUCAUCUUCUCCUCUAGCAGUAAGACGAAGUAAACAUUUGCGCAGGUUUUUUUCUUCUCUGCGAAUCUCGCGGUGUUGGCGAAUUUGUAUAAAAACAACACAGCAGUUAAUUUCGGGUUAAAAAUGCAUUGUAACGCGCGUUACUGAAAUUUGUACCGAGUAAAAUAUAAAAAAAGAAAAUUGUGUAAUGCCCUACCGCGUUACUCCCAACACUGCUCACAGACCAUAGCAAAGACAGACCAGAGCACACACACACACACACACACACACACACACACACACACACACACACACACACACACACACACACACACACACACACACACACACACACAGACACACAUGCACACACAAAGUGUCUGUAUAUAUAUAGCAUAUUCAAAUUCAUGAAGUAUAUUGUAAUCCAUUUUGUAAUCCAUGACCAAAAUAGGAAAAUAAGUAGGAUUAGUAUAUAUAGAUGCAGCAUGUGUUUUACACAGAAACCCAACAGAGCUUUCUGUAUAAAUCGUGGUCCAUUUUAUUUCCUAUUUUCAAAAAGAGUGGAAGUCAAAGAAUGAUAUAUAUGUGAAUGUUAAAUGUACCAAUGUUGGAUUUCGUUGUACUUUUGGAACCUAUAAAACCUGACGUUUGUUAUUUUAAACAUAAAACCUGAUGUUAUUACUGUGAUUUUAAACAUAAAACAUGUUAUGUUAGUUUCAGUGUAAAUGUCUACAAACAACACCCGAGCCUAUGGUGGAUGUCUGAGUUUUAGAAAGUUAACAUUGAAGUGUUGUACUACUUACAGUAUUCAGUCUAGUAUAUACAAUAUUCUGUAUUCAGCAUUCAGUCUAUAGUACUUACCAUCUUGUGGACGGGCAAUUGUUCUCCAUAUAGAGGGACAAACUUGAAGCAUUUAGUAAUAUAUAAGUAUAUAUGAAUAUUUAUAUAUAAGUUUAUAUAAGUCCAAAUGUUAUUUUGAUUCUCAAUGUGUAUUUCAACUUUGAGGUAAUAAAUGUAUGAAG